GGAAACAUGUUUCUUCGGCUGUCAUCAACGGUCAGUGUUUAGACAACAGUACAAUCCACUGAACGCCCUACUUUAGUCCCUCACAGCCUUGUUUCCAUUUCUGUCAAACUAUUAAAUGUAGGGCUACCCUGACUUGAGACUAAUCUAUAAUUGUUUGCAAGAGCGUGAUUAUGAACCAUUUUAGGUGAACUAUAAGUGAACUAUGAGUAGAUUAAUUUACCUGUUUUGCGUGAUGUCUUUCUGUAUGUAUUUUUGCCACUUUGGAGCCCCAUACAGUUAAGUGAGUGGAACUCACAGUCAUAAAUAUAUCACUGUGGUAAUAACAGCAGCUGGUGGUAUACGUGCAUUUGUUGCUGUCCAAAGCAAUCCACUCUUUUCACGAAAUUUAAGGAUUUUAUAACUGAGUUUUCAAAGUCAAAAACGACAACAACAACGACAAACAUACAUAAAUACGGUUUCUUUAAUGUGCACUGAAAGUCCCAUUUAGCUACUAGUAAGCAUCUAGGUUUUUCAAUACUUUAAAAGCUUUAAAAUGUCACAAGAUAUUGAUGUAUUUUAUUUUGUAGAAUAAAAUGUGAAAUAUCUUGAGCUUUUGUUAACCACAGAUCUUAUUUCAGAUAUUUAACCAAAACCCAAAUAACAUCGACUUCAGGAUGAUCAAACCAGAAAUGCUAAACCCUUAUUUCUGGUUAAAGCCUACAAAAAUACGUCAUUCCUCAAAUGCUUUAUUCUGAAACCAUUAACCCUGAGCCACAUUCCGGUGUCUCCUAUUGCCUGGGCAUGCUUGUCUACGGCUGAUUGAGAGGGUUAAUGCUCGAUGCACAGCCGUUUGGUCAGAAAUGACAGAGGGAUUAUCAUGGUGGCUUUUGAGGGUUAGGCCUGUGCCUAAAACAUCAUAUCUCCUUCUGUUUUUAAAAAUAAUUUUGUAAAAUGGUGUUACCAUGCUUUGUGCCUGGUCUCUGGUGGAUUUUUCACAUGCAGAUGGACAUUUGGUGAUUGAAUCUUUGAUUUAAAUAGACUUGUAUCCAACUGUAGAUGUGUUCUGUAAUCUAAUGUAAGAGCUUGAAAAUGUCAAACUGGAGGGCGGAAAAGGGCUCGGAUGGGAGUCUGCCUCCGAUUCUGGUUUAUUUGAAGAGCUGAAAAGAAAAUCAUGUCUGGAUUGAUGUCUUGUGAGGAAACUUUAUACAUUUUACACUAAGAUUCAGACUCGUUCUGUACUUUAUUUAGUAACUUGAAUCGAAAUCUUGAACAAUCCGAGGGGCAGUCGGGUGCAUCGGUUUCAGCAUCUUGUGUACACGUAUGCAUAGUUUUAACUGUGAAAUGCACUUUAUUUUUUUGAUGAGAAAAGGCACAACAAAUUACUUGUCUGCAAAACAAUAUUAUAAGGAUUAUAAUCAACAUGCACUAAUUAACAUCGUAAGACAUUGUGUUAACGUGUUGUCUAUUUUUCCAAGGUGUUGGUUGUAUACUUUUAUUGCUUUGGUUAAUGAACUGAGAGAUCUUGUUAAUUUUGUAUUAAAAAGAAUGUGCUGUGCAUUAAAAAUAUCCUCGCCUGGGUUUAUUCACACUCGCACAUCAAUUGGCCGACUGCCUCAAAUCCACUGUUGCCAUGGCGAUUCCCAGUCUCAGCUGUACUGUUUCCAUAGAGACACGAGUCUCGGAAUCAAAACUGUCCUGAUUCCAUGACGAAGACACUCUGAGAACGGUUUAAUGUAAUUCGUCAGAUUUUUAUUGUCGCUACUGCCACACGCACGCAGAAACCAGACAUCACUGAGCGAACACAUUUCAGGUAGUUUAAUCAAAUUCCUCGAGUCAGUUCACACAAAUAUAAUUACUGACUGCUGCGUUUCUCAACAUACAUAGAAACGUUCAUGCAGAAACUUCUGACCUCAACAUGCUUCAUUUAUCUGUAGUUCGAGUUGCUAUUCACUAAAUACAGUAUGUCCAUAUAAUUUAUUAAGUGUUGCGUUAAAAAGCAUUAGAAAA